AACGCACGAGACCUGCGGACCUGCGGAGGGAUCAUUACCGAGUGAGGGCCCUCUGGGUCCAACCUCCCACCCGUGUUUAUCGUACCUUGUUGCUUCGGCGGGCCCGCCGCAAGGCCGCCGGGGGGCUUCCGUCCCCGGGUCCGCGCCCGCCGAAGACACCUGUGAACGCUGUAUGAAGAUUGCAGUCUGAGCGAAAAGCUAAAUCGUUAAAACUUUUAGCAAUGGAUCUCUAGAUCGGAA
rnacentral:misc_RNA from 1 species